rnacentral:lncRNA from 1 species
CUCCUUGUUUUGCUUUCGAUCUGGACUGUUCUCAGGCAAGCCGGGGAGUAACUUUUAGUUUUGCUCCUGCGAUUAUUCAACUGACGGGCUUUCAUUUCCAUUUCACAUACCCUAGCAACACUUAUACCUUGCGGAAUUGUAUUGGUAGCGUGAAAAAAGCACACUGAGAGUGUGGGAGCUGUUCUUGGACAGUGCUGUGUGCUCUUCUCCGGAGUCCGAGGCCAGGGGAGUAACUGCAGUGUUCAGCCAAGUACGAGCAAGUGGAACUGACAGUUGUUCAGGCUUCCGUCUUGCACACGUCGAGGAAACGUUGUAAACAAGAAACAAAAAGCAAAGCCCUUACUCCUAGUGGGUCUUCCCUGAGCCAAGUGCUUGAAAAGCUGUGGGAGUGGGAACUGUUGUCAUGAUCGAAAAUGAAACUAUUCUGGGAAUGCCAGAUUUGGGGCGCUGGGAACCCUGAAGUGUCCUGCAGAGAACUGGUGGUGGAGGGGCCUCUGGAGGACAAACAUCUACAAUUUGCAAAUCUAUCAGUGACCCAGCGAUGGCACUUCUGGCGGUUUUUCUU